rnacentral:rRNA from 1 species
UACGGAGGGGGCUAGCGUUGUUCGGAUUUAUUGGGCGUAAAGCGCGUGUAGGCGGCUUUGUAAGUUAGAGGUGAAAGCCCAGGGCUUAACCCUGGAAUUGCCUUUAAGACUGCAUCGCUAGAAUCGUGGAGAGGUGAGUGGAAUUCCGAGUGUAGAGGUGAAAUUCGUAGAUAUUCGCAAGAACACCAGUGGCGAAGGCGGCUCACUGGCCCGGUACUGACGCUGAGGUGCGAAAGCGUGGGGAGCAAACAGG